rnacentral:rRNA from 1 species
AUUGAACGCUGGCGGCAGGCCUAACACAUGCAAGUCGAACGAGUGGCGGACGGGUGAGUAAUGUGUGGGAAACUGCUAGAUGGAGGGGGAUAACUACUGGAAACGGUAGCUAAUACCGCAUAGCAUCGGAUGUGCCCAGAUGGGAUUAGGUAGUAGGUGGGGUAACGGCUCACCAAGGCGACGAUCCACAGCGGGUCUGAGAGGAUGACCAGCCACACUGGAACUGAGACACGGUCCAGACUCCUACGGGAGGCAGCAGUAGGGAAUAUUGCGCAAUGGGCGAAAGCCUGACGCAGCCACGCCGCGUGAGUGAUGAAGGCCUUCGGAUUGUAAAGCUCUUUUAGUAGGGAGGCGGUACCCAAUCAGGAAGCACCGGCUAACUCCGUGCCAGCAGCCGCGGUAAUUC